UACGUAGGGUGCAAGCGUUAAUCGGAAUUACUGGGCGUAAAGCGUGCGCAGGCGGUUAUGUAAGACAGGUGUGAAAUCCCCGGGCUUAACCUGGGAACUGCAUUUGUGACUGCAUAGCUAGAGUACGGUAGAGGGGGAUGGAAUUCCGCGUGUAGCAGAGAAAUGCGUAGAUAUGCGGAGGAACACCGAUGGCGAAGGCAAUCCCCUGGACCUGUACUGACGCUCAUGCACGAAAGCGUGGGGAGCAAACAGG
rnacentral:rRNA from 1 species